rnacentral:rRNA from 1 species
GAUGAACGCUAGCGACAGGCCUAACACAUGCAAGUCGAGGGGUAACAUUAUUAAAGCUUGCUUUAAUAGAUGACGACCGGCGCACGGGUGCGUAACGCGUAUGCAACCUACCCAUUACAGGAGGAUAGCCCAGAGAAAUUUGGAUUAAUACUCCAUAGUAUUUACUGAAAGCAUUUUUAGUAUUUUAAAAGAUUCGUCUGGUAAUGGAUGGGCAUGCGUAUGAUUAGUUAGUUGGUAGGGUAACGGCCUACCAAGACGACGAUCAUUAGGGGUUCUGAGAGGAUAGUCCCCCACACUGGUACUGAGACACGGACCAGACUCCUACGGGAGGCAGCAGUGAGGAAUAUUGGUCAAUGGGCGAGAGCCUGAACCAGCCAAGUCGCGUGCAGGACGACUGCCUUAUGGGUUGUAAACUGCUUUUAUAUAGGAAUAAUUGUUUCUACGUGUAGGAAUUUGAAUGUACUAUAUGAAUAAGCACCGGCUAACUCCGUGCCAGCAGCCGCGGUAAUACGGAGGGUGCAAGCGUUAUCCGGAUUUAUUGGGUUUAAAGGGUGCGUAGGCGGGUUCAUAAGUCAGUGGUGAAAGUCUGUCGCUCAACGAUAGAAUUGCCAUUGAAACUGUGGAUCUUGAAUACAGUAGAGGUAGGCGGAAUAUAUUGUGUAGCGGUGAAAUGCAUAGAUACGAUAUAGAACACCUAUUGCGAAGGCAGCUUACUAUGCUGUAAUUGACGCUGAUGCACGAAAGCGUGGGGAGCGAACAGG